AAAGAAUGUCCUUUCUCUUGGCCCCAAAAAGGACCUUGUCCAAAUCUCCUCUGUUCUCCGCUUCGUCCAAAGGUUGCUACAAUAAUUCCAGCUGUGUAUACCUCCUGGGAUCAUAAUAGAAAUGAACCUCUGAAGCAUCUUACUGAAGAAGGCCCCUACGUUGACUGUCCAGCUGACUGUCUCUACCCGACUGCUGUCCCACACAAUAUGGGCCAGGCGAUGGUAUUGCCUUUGCAAACUAAAUGAAGUUCCUCAAAGUGAAGCUGGUGGCGACUUCAGAGUUAACUUUUCAAAUGGCCGGGCUUAUAUAGAAUAACCUUUGUAAAAGUAAACUAUGAUCAUAUAAUAAGAUACAUGUGCAUUUGGAACGCCACUGCUUUUGGAACCUGUCUCAGUUUUUAUCAUCAUACAAGGUUAAUUGUCUAAUGUCAAUUAGAUUUUAUCACAGUGCAUUUGGGUCCUAAUCUGGAACAAUAAAAGUCUAUUAAACAGCAAACUUUGUAGAUGUAUUUCCUAAAGAUGUAUUUCCUUUUU
rnacentral:lncRNA from 1 species